rnacentral:lncRNA from 1 species
AUGACCACUGCGCCGGGGAGCCAACUGUCCAGCAGUCAAACAGUGAUUCCAGGUGCCAGCGGCAUCAUCUCUCACACAACUGUUGAACCUGGAAGUUCUGUUAUAGGCACUACUGGUGUGGCCUUAAGCACAACUGUUGCACCUGGAAGUUCCAGUACAGAAGCCACAACUUCCACGGGAGUCGGUAGAACCACUGUAGUGGGAUGGAAAACAGGAGCUACCACUAGAGGAUCAGCAAACCAAGGAACUGGAAGCACAAUAGGGAUAUCAGGUGGCCAAGUCACUAGCACUCAACUAGGUAAGUAA